rnacentral:rRNA from 1 species
ACGUACACUCCUGCGGGAGGCAGCAGUGGGGAAUAUUGGACAAUGGGCGCAAGCCUGAUCCAGCCAUGCCGCGUGAGUGAUGAAGGCCCUAGGGUUGUAAAGCUCUUUCACCGGAGAAGAUAAUGACGGUAUCCGGAGAAGAAGCCCCGGCUAACUUCGUGCCAGCAGCCGCGGUAAUACGAAGGGGGCUAGCGUUGUUCGGAAUUACUGGGCGUAAAGCGCACGUAGGCGGAUCGAUCAGUCAGGGGUGAAAUCCCAGGGCUCAACCCUGGAACUGCCUUUGAUACUGUCGAUCUGGAGUAUGGAAGAGGUGAGUGGAAUUCCGAGUGUAGAGGUGAAAUUCGUAGAUAUUCGGAGGAACACCAGUGGCGAAGGCGGCUCACUGGUCCAUUACUGACGCUGAGGUGCGAAAGCGUGGGGAGCAAACAGGAUUAGAAACCCGAGUAGUCCC